UACGAAGGGGGCUAGCGUUGCUCGGAAUCACUGGGCGUAAAGCGCACGUAGGCGGCUUUUUAAGUCAGGGGUGAAAUCCUGGAGCUCAACUCCAGAACUGCCUUUGAUACUGGGAAGCUUGAGUCCGGGAGAGGUGAGUGGAACUCCGAGUGUAGAGGUGAAAUUCGUAGAUAUUCGGAAGAACACCAGUGGCGAAGGCGGCUCACUGGCCCGGUACUGACGCUGAGGCACGAAGGCCAGGGGAGCAAACGGG
rnacentral:rRNA from 1 species